UCCUCUUCCUCUCGCUCCUCCUUCUCUCCGUCUUCAAUGGGAGCGAUACUGAGAGCGCUGGGAGGGAACUGGGAGCGUAACUGGGAGCACUGGGAGGGAACUGGGAGCACUGGGAGGCAACUGGGAGCGCUCUCCCUGCCGGUGCCGCUCUUACUGGGAGCGCUGGGAGGGAACUGGGAGAGAACAGGGCCGGGCGGUGGGCGGGGCCGGCCUGAAUGGGCGUGGCUAUGCAAAUGAGUCUCAGCGGGAGUGUUUGCUUCAUAUGGGCGCGGUUAUGCAAAUCUGGGGGCGAGGGCGCUCUGGGAUUGGUUGGCGGGAGCAGCGCGUUGUUUCCCCCGUCACGUGAGGGCUGAGGGGGAGCGGAGCGAUGGCGGCGGCCUCCGCUGAUCCUGUUCGGGCUCAGCAACCAGCUGGUGGUGGCCUUCAAGGAGGACAACACGGUGGCCUUCAAGCACCUGUUCCUCAAGGGCUACGAGGACGGCGCCGAUGACACCGCGGCCAUCUACACCCGCGGGGACCUCCUGGAGCACCUGGCCUUCGUCCUCGAGCAGUACCUGGCUGUCCCCAAUGAGACCCCUGGGCCACCACG